GAAUGGUUAGGAUUUCGCGUUUUUCUCGAAACGCAGCACUAUAAAUACCCAAACAAGGGUUUUGUCGCCACAGGUUCAUAUUCAGGGUUCAUCUUCUGCACAAAACGUCAUCGUUGAGAGAAGCGUGACAACCUUCGUCAUUCAAGAUGAGAGCUAAGUGGAAGAAGAAGCGCAUGAGAAGGUUGAAGAGGAAGCGCCGAAAGAUGAGACAAAGAUCUAAGUAGAGUGCAUAAGCCAGGGUUCGAGAUGAGCUUUCCAUCCUUGGCAUUUUAGGCUGUUAUGGCUCUUAGGAUCUUGAGGUCUAGUUGGGAGGGGAGGUUUAUCUCUUGACUUAGUUUUAGCAUUACUGGACUAAGACUAUUGAGUGUAUUAAGUUUUUAUAUUGAGCGUUUUGUGGUAUCUAAAUAUAUGCUGGUUUUGUAGACUUAUUAAUUUAUCUUAGUAGUUUAUUUUGAGACUUGCAUGAAAAUUUGAUCCGAUUUUAUGUUUUAACCCCUAA